AUUGAACGCUGGCGGCAUGCUUUACACAUGCAAGUCGAACGGUAACAGGCCGCAAGGUGCUGACGAGCGGCGAACGGGUGAGUAAUGCACCGGAACGUGCCCAGUCGUGGGGGAUAACGCAGCGAAAGCUGUGCUAAUACCGCAUACGAUCUAUGGAUGAAAGCGGGGGACCGUAAGGCCUCGCGCGAUUGGAGCGGCCGAUGUCAGAUUAGGUAGUUGGGGGGGGAAAGGCCUACCAAGCCGACGAUCUGUAGCUGGUCUGAGAGGACGACAAGCAACCCUGGGACUAAGACACGGCCCAGACUCCAACGGGAGGCAGCAGUGGUGAAUUUUAGACAAUGGGCGCAAGCCUGAUCCAGCAAUGCCGCGUGCAGGGAGAAGGCGUUCGGGUUGUAAACUGCUUUUGUACGGAACGAAACGGCCUGGGUUAAUACCCUGGGCUAAUGACGGUACCGUAAGAAUAAGCACCGGCUAACUACGUGCCAGCCGCCGCCGUAAUAC
rnacentral:rRNA from 1 species